GCGUUCCUUUCCGUCAUCUGGUGCCACUGCUGAGGUCAGAACAAAGCACCCAAUUACACUAUCAAUGCUGGGUGCCUCAUUCUGACCUCAGAUCAACUCAAGCCACAGGAGUGGCACCGGGCAACUUGCAGGGACUGCGAGUGGAAAGGUAGCUAGCGUCAUCACUGCAAAGAGAGCCAAAAACCUGCAGCAAAAGACUUUUGAUGUACGAUUACCUUGAACUAGAAGUUCGGCUGUUGAAGUAGCUCGUCCCACGCUAUUUGUGGCAUUUACUGAAUAGGUUCCGGAGUCUUCGGGAAUCAAGACAAUACUUUUCAAAUUCUGAGGAAAAUUAGAUCAAGCCUUGAUUCAAAAGAAGACGAACUACAGGAGAAUGCAUUUUCUCACGAACGAUACGAAGCGUCUGUUCUCAAAGAUAUCCAUGACUUAACGGCACUUGUAAUACAGCCAACAACCUCAAUGUCAGAGGAAUUUUCAUUACUUGAUAGGAUACGAAGUAACUUCGAGAAAAAACACAUGGUUUAUUGGGAAAUCCAAAAAAAAACAACCCGAUUUGCUUGAAAAAAUUCAGUUUCAGCUGACGGAUGAUUCAGACCUGAAUCUGUCAACUUGUAGUGAAUUAGCUGGACCGUCCACUUUUGGAAAUAGUGGCCUUGACAUUAAAAUGAACAUUCACAAGCCUAUCUGUGACAUUCCAGCCAAUACUGGAAAAGAAAUGGACUCAGAGAUUAGUUCUGAGCCACCAGGAAAGAAAGAUCCAAUGUUUAAAUCUCCAAAGAAACAGCGGCAGCCUCCUGUUGCAAAUAAAGACAUGAUAAACAUGCCAAAAUCAGGACACGCUUCAUCCUAAUGCAGACUCAGCUUUUGCCUGUGUGGUGGAAACAGGGUGACCUGACAUCUUCCUUUUCCAGGACAUGUCCAGCUUCCUUCUGGGAAGAAUUCCAAAAGUCUUCCAUUUUGACCAUGACCAAGAAGCAUAAAUUUAUAUUUAUAUUAAUGUUUUUAGCUUUUAUUUUGUAAUGCCCUACAUUUUCCUUCAGCAUCCUACAUUUUGCAGUACCUUGUCCUCCUUUGCACUUAAGACAUCUGGUCUCCCUGGAUGGAAAGAAUUCUAUUAAGACAGAAAGAGGUCCCUCUCUCUUCUCCAAUUCCUUUCAGCAGCAUACUAGCCAUGGUUAAAAAUGGAAGGUGGCAGCUGCUUCCUAUAUAGCUCCCCUCUCUCCCUAAAGCCCUCUCUGCUUAGGAAGACUCUGCUAUGCAAAACAGACAUAAAACCAGUCUCUCCUAAGUGUAUGUUAAUACUGAGUAUUAGAAGUUAAACCACAAAGUUGUCUUUUGCAUUCAACUGCUAAAUCUAAUGUGCAUUCAUUUGCAUUCUUUAAAACAGCAUAACAUCUCAGAAUGUAGAAUAUUUUCAGUAUUUUGUUGCUUUCAGGCUGAAAUGCUGCAAAAGGAGCUUAUUUAAAUUUAUAGUCGCUUCCAAACCUUUCUUAAUUUCAUGUUAUUACUCUGAAGGACAUUGGACAACUCUAAUAAUCUUUAUGUAAUCUCUUGCAAAAGAUGAAGUAAACAAUCUUCAUACUUACAUAGCAUGUAUAAGGCGCAAAAUCUGAAAUAUCAUGUACAGUGGUGCCUCGG